AUUGACGCUGGCGGCAUGCUUUACACAUGCAAGUCGGACGGCAGCACAGAGAAGCUUGCUUCUUGGGUGGCGAGUGGCGAACGGGUGAGUUACAUAUCGGAACGUACCGAGCAGUGGGGGAUAACUAAUCGAAAGAUUAGCUGAUACCGCAUAUUUUCUGAGGAAGAUAAGCAGGGGACCAUUUGGCCUUGCGCUGUUUGAGCGGCCGAUAUCUGAUUAGCUAGUUGGUGGGGUAAAGGCCUACCAAGGCGACGAUCAGUAGCAGGUCUGAGAGGAUGAUCCGCCACACUGGGACUGAGACACGGCCCAGACUCCUACGGGAGGCAGCAGUGGGGAAUUUUGGACAAUGGGCGCAAGCCUGAUCCAGCCAUGCCGCGUGUCUGAAGAAGGCCUUCGGGUUGUAAAGGACUUUUGUCAGGGAAGAAAAGGGCGGGGUUCAUACCCCUGUCUGAUGACGGUACCCUGAAGCAAUAGCUCAGGUGGA
rnacentral:rRNA from 1 species